AAACUUACCAGGUCAAGACAUGGGCGUGAUUGACAGGCUAAUGACUUUUCUCGAUUCCAUGGAUGGUGGUGCAUGGUCGCACUUAGUUGGUGCAGUGAUUUGUCAGGUUUAUUCCGGUAACGAACGAGACCUCGGCCUUGUAAAUAGCUAUGCUGCUUACAGGGACAUUGGCGGCUACGCCAAGGAAGCUCGAGGCAAUUGCAGAUCUGGAAUGCCCUUAGAUGUCCUGGGUCGCACGCGUGCUACAAUGACGCCACGAACGAGCUUGCGUGAUGAAAGUUACGCAUAAUCAGCAGUCGGCGUCUUAAGGGAUAGUCUCUUGUAACUGUGGGACUCCAACUAGGAAUGUCUCGUAAGCACAAGUCAACAUCUUGUGUUGAUUACGUCCCUGCUCUUUGUACACACCGCCCGUCGCUCCUACCGAUCGAGUGUUUAGGUGAAUUUGAUCGACGUAAGCAAGUCAAAUAAACCUGAGCACUAGAGAAGAGAAGUCGAUAUGC
rnacentral:rRNA from 1 species